GUCAGAGCUGUAUCACCCUGCAGUUCUCCCCUGGUUUCCACUGAAGAUAAGCAGGCGUGAGCCUAGUCAGUACCUGGAUGGGAGACCUCCUGGGGAAAACUAAGGUUGCUGCUGGAA
rnacentral:rRNA from 1 species